rnacentral:rRNA from 2 species
AAGUGUGAUCAUACCAGCACUAAUGCAACGGAUCCCAUCAGAACUCCCUUGUUAAGUGUGCUUGGACGAGAGUAGUACUAGGAUAGGUUACCUCCUAGGAAGUCCUCGUGUUGCACCUC